CCACUCAGGAGUUCCUCGCUCCAAGUAUUUACACAAGAGUGACUAAGUGCACGCAGUUCACAAAGUUAACAACAGAAAACGUCCACGUUUUCCCUGGUAGAUCAGAACAUCUGCCGCUUCCCCUCAGCUUUCUUCAGAUUGCUCCUAGGUGCUUUAGAGAUGCAUUUUCAAAUUACACGUUGAGAUCCAGGAGUGAAUACUCAAAUCUAUUGAGUCGUGAGCACAUUUCUGUCCCAAAUAAAGUAGUAACGAUAUGUCCUGAUUGGAUAAUAAACUAUGUGAUCAACCUACUUCCUGCUCUCAAAGAUAGGAUUCUGUACAGCCCUCUGGUCAGUAGAGCUUCCAGCAAUUCGUUUAAUGAAUUCCUUUACCUGAGAGAAAGAUUGCAGAGGCAAGGGUUUGUGCCAGAGUCUCCAGGGAAUAAAGCACCCGAGCUGCCUCUGGAUGUUCUACCACUUCCCAGCACUCAUGUUGAAGAUGCAGAAAAUACAGUGAAAUCAGGAGGGCUAGGCAUCUUCUUUCCCAUCAAUUAAUUGCCUUGCCAAAGCUGGAGUGACUUUGUCAAUGGAGGAAGAUUGAGUUCCAAAUCUUCUUCUCCCUGUUCCCUCUCCUGCCACCAGCCCAUGCCACUGCCAUGGCUUGAGUAGGAGUCUCCCACCAGUCACCCUCAGCCACGGCUAUUCUGGGCUCUUUCACUCAGUUUCUCAAAUGAGAGCUGAAUUCAGUUUUUCAAAAUACAAAACUGGUUAUACCAACCCUCUGAUUAAAAUCGUUUAAUGGCGUCCCACUGCUCUUGAGAUAAAGAGAAGAUAAAAACCAGAUCCUUGAAUGUGCCUUCAAGCCCCCACCUCUCCUGUAAACUUUCACGUGGUUUCUCCUUGCUUGCUGAAAGCCUUCUCCAAAUUUCCUGAAUGUGCCUCUGUAAUCCCCCUACUCUUUAUGCACAGAGCCUUCCUUCACCAGUAUGGACUUUCUUCCUCUGACCUUUUCUUCUUCACCCAGCCAACUCCUGGUCUUUGUGGAUUGAAUGAUAACUUCUUUGAUGGGCAAGCUUUCACUGACCUCCAUGAGUAGAUCUUUUAUUAUAGGUUCUCUUGGCACCAUAUGCCUUUCUUUUAACAGCUGUAACUUUAUAAUUAUUUGUGUCAUUCUUUAAUUUCUAUUCCUAUCCUCCACUCAACUCCAAAUUUUUUGAGGGAAGGUAUUAUAUAUCUUUCCCUCCACUUACUAUUGUGUCCCAAAGCAUCUAACACAUAAUCGAUGUUUAAUAAAUAUUUAU